UACGUAGGGGGCAAGCGUUGUCCGGAAUUAUUGGGCGUAAAGAGCGUGUAGGCGGUCCGGUAAGUCAGCUGUGAAAGUCAAGGGCUCAACCCUUGAAUGCCGGUUGAUACUGUCGGGCUAGAGUCCGGAAGAGGCGAGUGGAAUUCCUGGUGUAGCGGUGAAAUGCGCAGAUAUCAGGAGGAACACCAAUGGCGAAGGCAGCUCGCUGGGACGUGACUGACGCUGAGACGCGAAAGCGUGGGGAGCAAACAGG
rnacentral:rRNA from 1 species